ensembl:processed_transcript 4930581F22Rik RIKEN cDNA 4930581F22 gene
CAAGGGAAAAAGAAGAAGGCAAAAGAAAAACUGCUCGGGGAGAAAGAACAACUGAGAUAUGUCUGGCAAGUUGAUUCAAGAAACAGUUGCCCGGCCUCCAAACCUGGAUAAGUCUUCACCAAACUAGGUACAAAGACAAGUUCUUGCUAAAGACUGAGAAGUGUAAGGAAGAAGACCCAGGGGUCACACUGGAAUGCGCUACAAGUGUAGGCUUGUGAAACAAGCAUUGUGAAACAACUCACUUGUCCUUCCCGGAGAAUGUUCCUCAGUAGUGGCAGAUGCUCUGGAGUGAGAUCUCGAAGUGAUCUGAUACCCCGGCGAUGGCAGAUGGCGAUCAAAUACAGGUCAUCAAGCUGUGCAGAGACCACAGGACAAAACAAGACAAUGCUAGUUUUAGCAAGGAGGCUACCAGCCAGGGCACUCCUACCCCCAAGGCCAAUCCAGAAGACCCUACAGCAGAGCCAAUGAGCGGGUACCCGAGGUAUCUGUCUGCCCUGGAUGUCAAGGGAUAGCUGAAGAACAAGAUUUCUGUGUAUUCUUUGGAACUAGGUGUGGUGGUACACGCCUGUAAUCCCAGCACUCAAGCAGAAGGACUGAGGGUUCAAAGUCACUCUGGGCUAUACAGCAAGACCCUUUCAAAAAAGAAAUUGAGAAAGGAAGAAAAACUAUAAAACAAAAAUUUCCAUCUGGGAAUGUUUACAUAAACUAAGGAGUUGACAGGAAGAGACGGGCAAGUUCUGAAAGCCAAGCACAAAAGUCUUUGUCCUGAAAAAUUUACAACUUCACUUAAGUGCAUGUCGUUCUCCUGUAUGAAAUAAAUGUUGUGUAAAAGCA